CACGUAGGGGCGAGCGUUGUUCGGAAUUACUGGGCGUAAAGGGCGCGUAGGCGGUUCUUUAAGUCGGAUGUGCAAUCCCCGACGCUCAACUUGGGUAACGUGCAUCCGAAACCUAGGGGAGGCUAGAGUACUGGAGAGGUGGUAGAAUUCCACGUGUAGCGGUGAAAUGCGUAGAGAUGUGGAGGAAUACCAGUGGCGAAGGCGGCCACCUGGACAGUAACUGACGCUGAGGCGCGAAAGUGUGGGUAGCAAACAGGAUUAGAAACCCCCGGUAGU
rnacentral:rRNA from 1 species